rnacentral:tRNA from 2 species
GGAGGGGUGGGUGAGUGGUUAAAGCCACCAGACUGUAAAUCUGGCGCCCUGACGGGCUUCGCAGGUUCGAAUCCUGCCCCCUCCACCA